rnacentral:misc_RNA from 1 species
GAAAUGCGAUAACUAGUGUGAAUUGCAGAAUUCCGUGAAUCAUCGAGUCUUUGAACGCACAUUGCGCCCCCUGGUAUUCCGGGGGGCAUGCCUGUCCGAGCGUCAUUGCUGCCCAUCAAGCACGGCUUGUGUGUUGGGUCGUCGUCCCCUCUCCGGGGGGGACGGGCCCCAAAGGCAGCGGCGGCACCGCGUCCGAUCCUCGAGCGUAUGGGGCUUUGUCACCCGCUCUGUAGGCCCGGCCGACGCUUGCCGAACGCAAAUCAAUCUUUUUCCAGGUUGACCUCGGAUCAGGUAGGGAUACCCGCUGAACUUAAGC